AAUUCUAUUGGAUAAGAAAACCAUCUAUUACCGCUUUGAAAAGCGCUUCUUUCCGGCUCCGCCCGCGCUCGCGACUCAAGCUCCCGCCUUCCCGCGAGAGAGGCGAUCUGCGCCCCCUCGGUGCGCAAGGCCUCUCGGGAGUUGUGGUUUGCAGAGCGGCGGCCGGUUCCGGGCCCUCUGAUACCGGGCGGAUGCGGCCGGCGGACGGAGCGGAGCUGGGCGUUAUUCCAGGCCAGCCGGCCCGCGGCCCGCGUACCGGGCCCACUCCCACCCCGCUUCGGGCCUCAGUUCUCUCUCCUGUGAAUGCUCCCGAGCUCUCUGCUCUUGGCCAAAACCCGGGCCUGAAUCUGCAGGAACUCCAGGGCCCUCGCGACCCGACGUGCCAGGUCGUGGGCCAGCGUCUGGUCCCAGUGUUCCCGGACUGUUUACUAGGCUGGCAGUGAAAACUGGAAGGAAGCACAGCCUGGCCCCUUUGCGGGAACCCGGAGGAGGCACUCAACCAGGACGUCUGGGAGGGCCCCCUGGAGGAAGCGACCUCGGAGCUGGGAACUGAAAGGACUAGAAGGAAGGAGAGAGUUCUCAGAAGAGGAAGAAGGUGGACGGUUGAAGGGCUCCACACAGACCAGCACAGGUGCAUGCCAGGCCCUGAGAGGUGCUGCAGAUCAGAACCCGGAGUGAAAAGCCGGUGGUGGAUUCCUUGACUUCAGCUUCCAGAACUGCACUUGGACAUGGAUUUGGCAAUAGAAAGCCUAGCUUGUCCCUCCUAUUCUGAGAGUACCCAGAUCAGGUCAUGGCCAUCACGUGUGGUCCCUGGACACCGUCAGGCAAUGAGGAUGUCACUCCAAAUGCCUGGGAUGGACAGUUUAGUAGGAGGGGGUCUUCUCCCCGGAAGAUUGAGUCAUGUAUGGAAAUUAAGCAGAUCAAAGCCAGAGCGUUAAUGGUUUUGUGUUGAGUUUACAAACAAUCUCUGUUGUUUGAUACUCAUGUAAUUGUAAAGGAAUUUGGUAUGGUAGGGUAUCCAAUAAGUCUGAUUCUGUGUGAAACAUGUUGAGUUUGAAACAUACUGAUUUUGAUAGUGAUUCUAAGUUGGAAGGUACAAGACUUUAGUUUGUGAUCAUAAUUGGAAUACUAAAGGAAAUUUACAAAUUUAAGAUAAAUGAGACCUUAAUGUAUCUUUAGGAAUUUUUAUACUUCUUUAAUGUUUUUACUAUUUAUUUUUGAGAGCACCCACACGAGUGGGGGAGGGGCAGUGAGAGAGGGGGGACAGAGGAUCCAAAGCAGUCUCUGUACUGUCUGCACGGAGGCUGAUGUGGGGCUCCAACAACGAACCGUGAGAUCAUGACCUGAGCUGAAGUUGGACGCUUAACCAACUGAGCCACCCAGGCGCCCCAGAAUUUUUAAAUACUUGAUAAGGCAGACAACGGAAAUGCUAAAAAAAGAAGUUUAGAUUCUGCAUGUUAAAAUGUAAUUUAAAAUGUUAAAGGAGUGGAACCAACCAUACACAGCUAAUCAAAAUGAUAGUUAUAGAUUUAUAGAUAAGAUUAGUAACUUGAAUUUCACAGCCUAAAGAAUAGCUAGGGUUUUCUAUUUGUAACUUUAAUACAUCAGGUAGUGUGAUGCUGGGAGCAUCUGGCUGGCUCGGUUGUAGAACAUGUGACUCUUGCUCUCAGGGCGAUGAGUUUGAACCCCACACUGAAUGUGGAACCUACUUAAAAAAAUAAAAAAAGUUGGGGUGCCUGGCUGACUCAGUUGGUUAAA